GAUGAAGAACGCAGCGAAAUGCGAUAAGUAGUGUGAAUUGCAGAAUUCAGUGAAUCACCGAAUCUUUGAACGCACAUUGCGCCCCUUGGUAUCCCGAGGGGCAUGCCUGUUCGAGCGUCAUUUCACCACUCAAGCCUGGCUUGGUGUUGGGCGACGUCCUCUUUGGGGACGCGCCUCGAAACGCUCGGCGGCGUGGCACCGGCUUUAAGCGUAGCAGAAUCUUUCGCUUUGGAAGUCGGGGCCCCGUCUGCCGGAAGACCUGCUCGCAAGGUUGACCUCGGAUCAGGCAGGGAUACCCGCUGAACUUAAGCAUAUCAAUAAGCGGAGGA
rnacentral:misc_RNA from 1 species